UGAUCACAAGCAUCACAUUUGAACAAGCCAUCAACUGUUUGUGCCUUUGAGAGGAGAUUGAGCGAGUGUUGAUGAAGUGGGUGCUUCUUCUUGGUAGGUAAUUCAGAACAUUCCUUGUGAAGGAACAUAUCACACUGUGAACAACCGUAGAUUGGAGCAGACAGGGGUAACAUACACCCAUCACAGCGUUUGUUGCCUCCAACCUCAUCAAUGAUGCUUAAUCCAUGUUCAUGACUGAAAUGUUUGUUCUCUGUUUCCACUUCUUCCUCGCCCAUAGCAACUUGUG
rnacentral:misc_RNA from 1 species